rnacentral:rRNA from 1 species
GCGGUGGAUGAUGUGGAUUAAUUCGAUGCAACGCGAAAAACCUUACCUACCCUUGACAUGUCCGGAAUCCCGAAGAGAUUUGGGAGUGCUCGAAAGAGAACCUGCACACAGGUGCUGCAUGGCUGUCGUCAGCUCGUGUCGUGAGAUGUUGGGUUAAGUCCCGCAACGAGCGCAACCCUUGCCAUUAGUUGCUACGAAAGGGCACUCUAAUGGGACUGCCGGUGACAAACCGGAGGAAGGUGGGGAUGACGUCAAGUCCUCAUGGCCCUUAUAGGUGGGGCUACACACGUCAUACAAUGGCCGGUACAGAGGGUAGCCAACCCGCGAGGGGGAGCCAAUCCCACAAAGCCGGUCGUAGUCCGGAUCGCAGUCUGCAACUCGACUGCGUGAAGUCGGAAUCGCUAGUAAUCGCGGAUCAGCAUGUCGCGAUGAAUACGUUCCCGGGUCUU